AUCACUUUAGUAUAAUAAUUACAGGCGGUUUCCAACCGCCAAAUCUUAUCCGCUUAAGACGUGAUA
rnacentral:tRNA from 1 species